UACGUAGGGACCAAGCGUUGUUCGGAUUUACUGGGCGUAAAGGGCGCGUAGGCGGCUUAACAAGUCACUUGUGAAAUCUCCGGGCUUAACCUCGGAACGGCCAAGUGAAACUGUCAAGCUAGAGUGCAGAAGGGGCAAUCGGAAUUCUUGGUGUAGCGGUGAAAUGCGUAGAUAUCAAGAGGAACACCUGAGGUGAAAGCGGGUUGCUGGGCUGACACUGACGCUGAGGCGCGAAAGCCAGGGGAGCAAACGGG
rnacentral:rRNA from 1 species